rnacentral:rRNA from 1 species
UAAGUGAUGGCGACCGGCGCACGGGUGAGUAACACGUAUCCAACCUGCCGAUAACUCGGGGAUAGCCUUUCGAAAGAAAGAUUAAUACCCGAUGGUAUAAUAAAGCCGCAUGGUUUAAUUAUUAAAGAAUUUCGGUUAUCGAUGGGGAUGCGUUCCAUUAGGCAGUUGGUGAGGUAACGGCUCACCAAACCUUCGAUGGAUAGGGGUUCUGAGAGGAAGGUCCCCCACAUUGGAACUGAGACACGGUCCAA